rnacentral:rRNA from 1 species
UACGUAGGGUGCAAGCGUUAAUCGGAAUUACUGGGCGUAAAGCGUGCGCAGGCGGUUUUGUAAGACUGUCGUGAAAUCCCCGGGCUCAACCUGGGAAUGGCGAUGGUGACUGCAAGGCUAGAGUUUGGCAGAGGAGGGUAGAAUUCCACGUGUAGCAGUGAAAUGCGUAGAUAUGUGGAGGAACACCGAUGGCGAAGGCAGCCCCCUGGGUCAAAACUGACGCUCAUGCACGAAAGCGUGGGGAGCAAACAGG